rnacentral:rRNA from 1 species
AUUGAACGCUGGCGGCAGGCCUAACACAUGCAAGUCGAACGGUAGCGGGGAGAAGCUUGCUCCUUUGCCGACGAGUGGCGGACGGGUGAGUAAUGUCUGGGAAACUGCCCGAUGGAGGGGGAUAACUACUGGAAACGGUAGCUAAUACCGCAUAACGUCUUCGGACCAAAGUGGGGGACCUUCGGGCCUCACACCAUCGGAUGUGCCCAGAUGGGAUUAGCUAGUAGGUGGGGUAAUGGCUCACCUAGGCGACGAUCCCUAGCUGGUCUGAGAGGAUGACCAGCCACACUGGAACUGAGACACGGUCCAGACUCCUACGGGAGGCAGCAGUGGGGAAUAUUGCACAAUGGGCGCAAGCCUGAUGCAGCCAUGCCGCGUGUAUGAAGAAGGCCUUCGGGUUGUAAAGUACUUUCAGCGGGGAGGAAGGCGAUGCGGUUAAUAACCGCGUCGAUUGACGUUACCCGCAGAAGAAGCACCGGCUAACUCCGUGCCAGCAGCCGCGGUAA